UACAGAGGGUGCAAGCGUUAAUCGGAAUUACUGGGCGUAAAGCGUGCGUAGACGGUUAUGUAAGUCGGGUGUGAAAGCCCCGGGCUCAACCUGGGAAUGCCAUUCGAGACUGCAUAGCUAGGGUGCGGAAGAGGGAAGCGGAAUUUCCGGUGUAGCGGUGAAAUGCGUAGAUAUCGGAGGGAACACCAGUGGCGAAAGCGGCUUCCUGGUCCAGCACCGACAUUCAGGCACGAAAGCGUGGGGAGCAAACAGG
rnacentral:rRNA from 1 species